rnacentral:tRNA from 1 species
GGAGAGGUGGCUGAGUGGUCGAAAGCGUCCGACUCGAAAUCGGAUAUACCUUUUAUGGUAUCGCGAGUUCAAAUCCCGCCCUCUCCGCCA